rnacentral:rRNA from 1 species
AACGGGGGGAGCUAGUGUUAUUCAUUGUUACUGGGCGUAAAGGGUGCGUAGGCGGUUUAAAAUGUUUUAAUGAAGUAAUCUAAGCGUAACUUAGAAGUUCAUUAUUAUACUUUUAGGCUCAAGAGGGCAGAAAGGUUGGUGGUAUUUUUAGUGGAAAGGUGAAAUUUUUAAAAUAUUGAGAGGACACUCUAUAGGCGAAAGCAACUGGCUUAUAUGUUACUGACGCUGAAGCACAAAAGCUUAGGUAUCAAACAGG